CAAGUCCAACACUAUCAAAUUAUAAAGAAGAAUUUCAGUAGCAGCUCGGAUUACAACCUCACUCACUCCACUGAGCCACUCUGAGUAUUGCAAAACACUUAUAGGAUGCAGGUAUUGCUAGGUCUGUUGUCGUCUGGAUGAUUAUAGCACAAGUGAAACAGAAGACUAAGAGAUUUGAAGGCGUUAAUGCUGGAAAUAGUGAUGGAUAGUCACUAUAUUUCUGAGCUAGGGAAGAAAAUGA
rnacentral:lncRNA from 1 species